CCUACGGGGGGCAGCAGUCGAGAAUCAUUCACAAUGGGGGAAACCCUGAUGGCGCGACGCCGCGUGGGGGAAUGAAGGUCUGCGGAUUGUAAACCCCUGUCAUGUGGGAGCAAAUUAAAAAGAUAGUACCACAAGAGGAAGAGACGGCUAACGCGGUGCCAGCAGCCGCGGUAAUCCAGAGGUCUCAAGCGUUGUUCGGAACCACGGGGCGUAAAGAGUGCGUAGGCGUUUUCGUAAGUCGUGUGUGAAAGGCGCGGGCUCAACCCGCGGACGGCACCUGAUACUGCGAGACUAGAGUAAUGGAGGGGGAACCGGAUUUCUCGGUGUAGCCGUGAAAUGCGUAGAUAUCGAGAGGAACACUCGUGGCGAAGGCGGGUUCCUGGACCUUACCUGCCGCUGAGGCACGAAGGCCCGGGGAGCGAAAGGGAUUAGAUACCCGGGUAGUC
rnacentral:rRNA from 1 species